rnacentral:ncRNA from 1 species
GUAAUGCUAUGAGUGAAGGAAGUGGAACUGCAAAAUCUUUGAGUCUACGAACAGAAACUUGAUAAGGCUAAAUGGUAGAUAAGGUUGCGUAUCAAACCGAAGUCUAAAAGAUAAACGUAAAACCAAAGCAGUAAAUCAAGGGGCAAUGAA